GGUCUCACAGUUCAACGGAUAGAAUACCUGCCUGCCGGCAGGCAGGGAAGUUUCCUAAACUUUUGAUCCCAGUUCGAUUCUGGGUGAGACUACCA
rnacentral:tRNA from 1 species